AUACAGAGGCUUCGUCGAAUUACUUACUACCAGCUGCAAUCACAAAACUACCCUCCUUGGAAAUGCCCAUCCCACAACUCUUACGAAAGAAACCCUUCUCAAAUAUGUGUGCAUGGGUGCCUGUUACUAUUUCUUGUAUAUAGUGUUUUGCUUCCAUAUAGUAGCCUAGUGUAUAUAGUGUUUUGCAUGCAUAUAGUAACCUAGUGUAUAUAGUGUUUUGCAUUCAUAUAGUAGCCUAGUGUAUAUAGUGUUUUGCAUUCAUAUAGUAGCCUAGUGUAUAUAGUGUUUUGCAUUCAUAUAGUAGCCUAGUGUAUAUAGUGUUUUGCAUUCAUAUAGUAGCCUAGUGUAUAUAGUGUUUUGCAUUCAUAUAGUAGCCUAGUGCAUAUAGUGUUUUGCAUUCAUAUAGUAGCCUUGUGUAUAUAGUGUUUUGCAUUCAUAUAGUAGCCUAGUGUACACAGUCUUUUGCAUUCAUAUAAUAGCCUAAUAUAUAUAGUGUUUUGCAUUCAUGUAGUAACCUAGUAGUUAAGAAAUCUGAGGAAACUAUACGAGCAAUUUUUGACGUCAUUGGUGUUGUGUCGAAAACCCCACCAUCAUGGAUUGCACAGUUGAAUUACAAAACACCAUGUUGGACCGUGGAAUAAUAUCUCCUAAGUAUCGGUGUCAGCAUGCUUGAGUCAGCUGUUGGGACCCACGUGUGUCGCUCCCAGGGAUGUGUACGUCAGGCGGCGUGCUCGUGUGAAGCGCCCCCCCCGCCACGCAGCUGCCAGGAGACGCAGAGAUGGAACACAGCACACCAAGACAACCAACAGACGUACCACAACACCCUCCUUGAAAUCACCCAGGGCGCAGGAAUCAAGGGGAGAGACUGAACACAACAUGGCAAGAUACCCAACCCCACAACACCCUCCUUGAAGUCACCCAGAGAGCAGGAAUCCGGAAAGACUUUGAACAGAGCCCAGCAAGAUACCCAAGCCCACACCACCCUCCUUGAAGUCACCCAGAGCAGAAAUCUAGGAAAGAGAGACCAUGAACCAACAGAGACCCACCUCAGUCGUGCUACUAACAGGCUCAUUAAACCCCAGAGUGAUGGGGCUGGCAGAGGAGGAGGGGAGGACCAACUAACCGGCCUCUUGAGAAACCUGGGGAGAGAAAGUAAAAGCCAGCAUGAGCCUUCAAAGCUACUGAUGGAUAAUAUGCUGGGUCCCUCCAUCCAUUCCCCAUUUAUUU